GAGUUUGAUCCUGGCUCAGGACGAACGCUGGCGGCGUGCUUAACACAUGCAAGUCGAACGAGGUCCAUCCGGUGGCAACACUGGAGAAGACCUAGUGGCGAACGGGUGAGUAACACGUGAGGAACCUGCCCCGAAGACCGGGAUAACAGCGGGAAACCGCUGCUAAUACCGGAUACCCCCAUCGGAUCACAUGGCCUGAUGAGGAAAUGGAUUCCGCUUCGGGAGGGCCUCGCGGCCUAUCAGCUUGUUGGUGGGGUAACGGCCUACCAAGGCGACGACGGGUAGCUGGUCUGAGAGGACGAUCAGCCACACUGGGACUGAGACACGGCCCAGACUCCUACGGGAGGCAGCAGUGGGGAAUCUUGCGCAAUGGGCGAAAGCCUGACGCAGCAACGCNGCGUGAGGGAUGAAGGCCUUCGGGUUGUAAACCUCUUUCGACAGGGACGAUAAUGACGGUACCUGCAGAAGAAGCCCCGGC
rnacentral:rRNA from 1 species